rnacentral:tRNA from 1 species
AUUUAUGUAGUUUAUAAAACUUUUUAUUUUCGUUAAAAAAUAAGCAAAUUAUUGCUCAUAAAUU